UCCUACGGGGCGCAGCAGUGAGGAAUAUUGGUCAAUGGGCGGGAGCCUGAACCAGCCAAGCCGCGUGAGGGAAGAAGGUACAGCGUAUCGUAAACCUCUUUUGUCAGGGAACAAAGGCGGGGACUAGUCCCCGGAUGAGGGUACCUGAAGAAAAAGCAUCGGCUAACUCCGUGCCAGCAGCCGCGGUAAUACGGAGGAUGCGAGCGUUAUCCGGAUUUAUUGGGUUUAAAGGGUGCGUAGGCGGUCCGUUAAGUCAGCGGUAAAAUUGCGGGGCUCAACCCCGUCGAGCCGUUGAAACUGGCAGG
rnacentral:rRNA from 1 species